AAUUUUUACAAAACAAAAGGCAGUAUCAAAAACAGCAAAGAGUUUACAGGAUUUCUGCACCAGUUUUCACAGAAGUCAGUGAUUACGGUGUCCAAUGUAAAUACGAAGCACAGGCGGAUUUCCCUCUUGGUCAUAUGCACUCAGGUGGUUGGAUUUGGAGCUACUGAAUAACAGCUUUUUAUAAGCACCGGUCAUUUGUUUUGAGAACUGAUUUGGUUUGUCCAACAAGUAAACACUUUUUGCUGUGUGUGGCAUUUUCUUCUUUUUAAAAAACACUGAGCUAAAAUACACGAUGCGUGUGUGUUUGGAUCUGAACCAAAUCUUUUGAGAUCCUAAUUCCCCUGAAAAACACUGAACACAUUUAUAGGGAUUAUUCAAUACUGGUUCUAUACCGCAACAGGUUAAGGCAGCUACUAUAGUUCUAAGGAAAACAGCAUUUCAUUCAGAGGCUGCCCAGAGUUUGAACUACAUCACAGUUUCCACGUCCUUUCUGAUGGGGAGGAGUUUUCCCACGUAGGGCCACAUUAUUGAAACAAAAGUUUUAUGGUCAAGCCCAACAGGCUCUGGCAUUUUAUGGAACAUUAGUGUCGAGCAAGACUCCUUGCUCUGGACCCUGGUGACCACAAAGAAAUCGAGAGGCCAUGAUCGCUGGGUGCUGAGAGGAGGAGUAUACUGAAACUCACAUAAUCUGGAGG